UACGUAGGGUGCGAGCGUUUAAUCGGAAUUACUGGGCGUAAAGUGUGCGCAGGCGGCUUCGCAAGUCGAGUGUGAAAUCCCCGAGCUUAACUUGGGAAUUGCGCUCGAAACUAUGGAGCUGGAGUGUGGCAGAGGAAGGUGGAAUUCCACGUGUAGCGGUGAAAUGCGUAGAGAUGAUGGAGGAACACCGAUGGCGAAGGCAGCCUUCUGGGCCAACACUGACGCUCAUGCACGAAAGCGUGGGGAGCAAACAGG
rnacentral:rRNA from 1 species